ensembl:piRNA 21ur-3342 ncRNA
UAAUUUAGUCAUUGGUGUUAC